GAGAAAUGGAAAACAGUUAGAAGAUUUUUUAUUAAGUCUUUUAAGCAUAUAGUUUCAUAUUUUAUUUAUUUAGUUUUUAUGUUUUGAUUUGGGGCUGCAACCAUGCAUUCAGCUACACAACUUUUGUUUCAAAACUUUUUGUCUUUUCUCCCACAGACAGAUACCUCAUUAACCUUUGUCUGAAUAUAUAUUACAGAGCAUGAAUACAAAAUAUACCUCAUAUAUUUAAUUUGUAUUUUUUUUUUUGUAAAGCCACUUAAGAAUCAAUGUUUUUGUUUCAACAGAUCACUGGAUUUUUCAUAUUUUGUAUAAUUAUACCAAAGAAGGGAAUAUUGAACACACAUCUACCUCAUUCAUUAUAGACUGUGCCAAUCAAACAUGACCACAAUCCUAAUUGCCAGUUUUUCUGUGUAGCCUUCUUAGGUCAAAACCCACACACACAUUUGCUAGACCAGAAAAUGCAGAGACAAAACCAACACAGGUGGACCACUUAAGUUGUGAAGGAGUUCACACUUUUCUCUUUUUGUAUUGUUGUUGGGGGAAAACACCUGGAAUCCAUAAUUUCAUCUGUACAACACUGCACAGCUCUUGUCCUACAGUGUGUUCAGGUUUGUGGUUUAUCUUGUUAGAUAAUGUAUAGGUAGUAAUGUUAAAUGGUAAUGACACAAUAGGGUACCAUGCAGCAACACAGAACAAACUUCCGUUCGGCCACUGUAAUUAAUUGUCUUUCCAGGUGUCACUUCUGUCAUUGAAUGCGUCUGUAAUCAUUAUUCCCAGAGUUCACUUGAAAAAUGUGUUCUUCUGGAAAUCAUGUCAUUAUGUGGACGGAGAACAUUUUUAGAUUCAAAGCUGUAUUCCAAUGUUUGUGCUAGAAUGCCUCUUAGAACACACAGAACUGUAUAUACCGUUGCUUUAUUCUGAGUAGCAUGCUGGUGUGGACACUGGAACGGCGCUGAGGAGCAGAACAUUCUGUCAGGACAGUGUCACUUUCUGUGGAGUCACUGAAGCACAUUUAUCCCAUGCUUCGCAGUGCUCUGUCACUUUGAAACCAGUUCCGUCCAUAAUAGUUACCUCCUAGUCCUACUUUUUGGGUCAAAUCGACGCAUCAACAUAGCAGAGUAAUAAGCAUCCACAUACUAUGUGAGAAGACAGAACUCCUAACUUUAGCCAUCUGGGAGUGAAAUAUGAUAGUGAUUUAUGUCAGGGAGAAGCUGGGUGUCGGGACUGGGUGUGUAUGUUUUAUGGAAUCCAUACAGAGACCCACUGAUGAACGUACAAUAUAUUUUCAUCCAUCCUCCACAUAACCAAACCACACAACGAUUUAUGUCUCUAAAUCUGACUGAAGCCAUUGUUUUACCCAUGAAGGUGAUAUUUACUGAAGGACCUAUAUGCCUAUGGGGGAAAUAGAACUGAAACAGAACAUAUCAGAGAUGGUUUUGAUAUCACAUCACUGGCAUGGUGGAAGUCUCAAGGCUGUUUCUCCAGCUCACAUCUCUUCCUGUACUGCUCAGCCUUGGAGGCGGGACACCCAAAACAUUUAGCCAAUCACUGAGCAGCUUUGCUUACUGAAGCGACAAGAACAUCCAGUACAAUCAACAUAAUUCUUGUAACCAAAGAUAUUUUUCAAAAAAAACUGCAAGAAAGAUCACUUUGUUAAUGAAAAAAUUACCAAAUAUGACAGAGAAG
ensembl:lncRNA